UACGUAGGGCGCAAGCGUUAUCCGGAAUUAUUGGGCGUAAAAGAGCUCGUAGGCGGUUUGUCGCGUCUGCCGUGAAAGUCCGGGGCUCAACUCCGGAUCUGCGGUGGGUACGGGCAGACUAGAGUGAUGUAGGGGAGACUGGAAUUCCUGGUGUAGCGGUGGAAUGCGCAGAUAUCAGGAGGAACACCGGUGGCGAAGGCGGGUCUCUGGGCAGUAACUGACGCUGAGGAGCGAAAGCGUGGGGGAGCGAACAGG
rnacentral:rRNA from 1 species